AUAUCUAACUCCGAUUGCUCACUUAUUAUAUACCAGGUAUUCUUUUUUUUUAAUAUUUCUUUUAGUUGUCAAUGGACCUUUAUUUAUUUAUAUGUGAUGCUGAGAAUCAAACCCAGUGCUUCACACAUGCUAGGCAAGCACUUUUACCACUGAACCACAACCCCAGCUCCUCAUGUAUUCUUUUGAUCCUGCUGUAGCUAUUAACCUUUAUGUGUAUUAACUAAGUUAAUGCUUGCACCAACUCUAUGAGGAAGGGAUCUACUAUUAUCAUUCUUUUUUUGCAUAUGUGGAAAUGAACCUUGAGAGAUAGCCAGAGGACCAGAGCUGAUAAGCAGAGGAGCCAGGAUGUAACCGAGGUAGCUUGACUAUGGCAUCUAAUGCCUACCCUCUAUUUUGCCCAUUUCCCCACACUAUGCUCACAGGCUGUACCCACAGUGCACCCAACCUGGAACAGGUUCAAAACCCUACUCUGGAUACUUGGGGAUGCCUCUGGGCUGAUCAGGUUCAGAGAGCUGACUACCUGAGCAGAAGGUCUUGGUCCUCCAGAUACUUACUUGAACCACCUAGGACCCUAGGAGCAGCAGCCUAUAGGACCCACUGCAGUCUCUUCUCUAGAAAAAUUGUGUCAGUUUACAAAGCUCCAUAACAAAGUCCGACAGACUAGAGGGCUUAAAAACAGGAAUCUAUUACUUUGCAAAAUAUGGAGGCUGGAAGUCUGAAAUCAAGGUGUCAGCAGGGUUGGUUCCUUCUGAGGGCCUGACAAAAGGAUCUGUCUAGGACCCUCUUCUUGGUGUAUAGAUGGCCCUCUUCUCCUGUGUCUUAUCAUUUCUCUUCCUUCUUUCCAUGUCUGCAUCCAAAUUUCCCCCUUUUGACAAGGAUGCUAGUCUUUAUAAAGGACUAAGGUCCAUCUUAACAGAUUAAACUAAUUAUUUCUAUAAUGAUCCCACUUCCAAAUAAGGUCAGAUUGUGAGAUCCUGGGGUUAGAACUGCAGCAUAGAGAUUUUGAGGGGAUAUAAUUCAAAACAUACCAAGGAUCCACAGGGGAAAUUUCUGAUCUUUAAAUCAAUAAUAUAGUUUCAAGAGCAAUUGGUUUGCUUUAAAAAAAAUUAAACACUAGGAGUCAUGUGACUGAUCAAAAUAUAGCUGCACUUCAGUUUCAUUGAAGCUUAGAGACAAGUGUAUCCCCCUUGGCAAGUAUAUGGGAUUUCAUACUAUGUAGUAUUAGGCCUUAAUUCUUUGGGGCACUAUUUAUGUAAUUUCUUACCACUGUCUAAUUAUGUUAAUUUGCACUACUUAUAUAUAACCCGAUAAACCACUUUAAAUUUUUUUUAGAAUGGCCAGCUAUAUAAUUAGAAAGAAUUCUUUCCUGCUUCUUAAGCCCAAUUUUUAUUUCUUCCUUUCCCUCCUUUUAUUAGCUAAUAUAUUGCUAAUUCCCUUUCUUUCCUCUUCUACAUAGUCUUAGAGCAUCCUCUAAUUUUUGAAGCCCUUAUUAACAUGGGGGAAGUCAUUAGGGAAGCUUUGCUUUUUGCCUCCAUUUCUGAAGGUCAUUUUUCCUUCUGAGGGAAAAGUUCUUAACUCUCAUUUGUAGGGCUCAUGACCUUGAACAGAAGAAAUAUCGAGAAGAAACUGUUUCCUGGAACCUGCCUCCUUCGGUGAUGGGAAAGACCUGUCCUGGUUUCCCUCUUCUCCCUACCAAAAAAGAGUCCCUGAAAAAUUAAACCUGAUACCUGAUGCCUGAUGGAGGACUGGACUGGGUUCCCCAAUUUGUGAAGAAGAAAAAAGAAAGUGACUUGGUAGAGCAAUAGAAGAAGUAAGAAGGCCAGGGAAGGGAUUGUGAUGGAAAGUGAAUCUUUGGGAGGGAGAAUACAAGUUUCCUGUGCUGAUCAACAAGGCCAGACCUGAAGAAAUGGAGGAUCUGGCAAGGGGCUGUGGCAGAAACCUUGGAAAGUCCUGGUUUGAGUCUUCGUUCAGCUGCCUCGCCUUCUAGGAGGAGCAGGCCUGAGGAGGAAGUGAGAAGAGCACCUGCAGCAAACCUGCCACAUUCUGCAGCCCAAGUCUGCAGCCAAGCACAUGCUUCGAGGAAGAGGAAGAGGAGUUUCACCUCCAGCUGCAUAUGUAUGUUUUCCCUAGGGCUCUCGACAGAUGAAACUGAAGAAUGAGGGGAUGAAUUCAAUCACUGUUUUGAUCCAGAAGAAUUACAAACCAAAGCGAAUGGAUGGAUUUAAAAGAAGAGUAUUUGGCAUUACAAAAAGCCAGCAUGGCUUCUUUAAAAAAAACUAUAUCCCAAAUAAAAUCAGAAUCAGGAAUGGAGACAGAAGAGUUCCUAAUAACUCUGAAAUGAGAAAUGAAAAAGCUCACAGUCAAGAGAAUCACCCUCAGAAGAAAGUUAAUGCUCCAGGACCACAGUUUGUGAGUGGAGUGAUUGUGAAGAUCAUUAGCACAGAACCUCUACCUGGCAGGAAACAAGUUCGGAUACUUUGGCCGCAAUCUCAGAAGUUGUUUAUGUUGAUUUGUUAGAAGGAGAUACAGAAUGCCAUGUCAGAUUUAAAACUCCUGAGGAUGCUCAAGCAGUUAUGAAUGCAUAUAAUGAAAUU